rnacentral:rRNA from 1 species
UACGGGGGGAGCAAGCGUUGUUCGGAUUUACUGGGCGUAAAGGGCGCGUAGGCGGUCGUGACAAGUCACUUGUGAAAUCUCCGGGCUUAACUCGGAACGGUCAAGUGAUACUGUCGGACUAGAGUACAGAAGGGGCAACUGGAAUUCUCGGUGUAGCGGUGAAAUGCGUAGAUAUCGAGAGGAACACCGGUGGCGAAGGCGGCUCCUGGCCGAGUACUGACGCUGAGGCACGAAAGCCGUGGGGGAGCG